GCGAUCAUACCAGCCCUAAUGCACCGGAUCCCAUCAGAACUCCGAAGUUAAGCAUGCUUGGGCGAGAGUAGUACUAGGAUGGGUGACCCCUAGGAAGUCCUCGUGUUGCACCCC
rnacentral:rRNA from 1 species